GUCAGUUUAGGUGACAGAACUGGUUUACAAUAAGUCCACCAUUUUCACAGUGAAGGAUGAAUACAGGAAGUCUCUAUACUUUGAUGAUAUAAGCUUCAAACAAGCACAUGUGCACGUGUCAUAAAAGCCGACCAUUACACAAGCAGCCGCUUUAAAAGAAAGAAAACCGCUCCCAGACAGCAUUGUUUGUGUUCACUGCAUUUACUCAGGCACACACACUGUAAGAUAAGCUGACUCAUCAAUAAUGGCAAAACACAGCAUUACUCUCGCCACUGCCAUAGUGCUGGCACUGGUUGUCUUCAUCAUCACGAUGGUGUUCAGUGCUUUGGCAGCGGCAGGAAAACAGCCAUUUUUGGUGAGCACUGGGAAUAUUUCAGAUGAGUUUGUGACAGAGAUCACACCCUCAGGAUGGACCUUCUCCAUCUGGGGAAUCAUCUACACCUUUCUGGCCUUAGUGUUGGUGUACAUCCUCUCAGGCUUCUUUAGGAAGAAUGAGUAUGGUUACGUCUACUGCAGCCCUGCUGUUCUGUCACAUGGAUUUUUUGUUCUCUGGUGCCUUAAUCUGAUCCUCAACAUCGGAUGGCUUCUUCUUUGGGACAGAAAGUUCAUAGCUGCUUCACUGAUUUUCCUCAUCUUAGUUGCCUCGACUAACUACGGUGUGAUAUUCUUCUCCUGCUAUGGUCUCCAUAAAUAUGGAGCCUGGCUCAACAAGUACCACAAAGUGGACCUGUGGCUUCACCGUGUGUUGAUUCAGAACGGUGUUGCCAUAUACGCAACAUGGACAACCAUUGCCACCCUAGUUAACUUGGCUAUUGUGGUUAGUUAUGAUGGAAACAUGUCCCCUCCAGAUGCUGCCACUCUCUCACUGUCUAUUCUGACUGUAGUGCUGAUUGCUUGGUUCGUCGUGGAAAACCUCCUGCUCGACAAAUACGUGAGGUUCAUUCUCUCCAUUUACCCUGCUGUGAUUUGGGCGCUGACUGGGGUGUAUACAAAAAACUACAACGCUGCAGCUCCAACUCGCAACAACAUCUUCAUCGCUGCACUGCUGGCUAUAGCCUGUGUCUUGUUUGCUGCACGGAUACUCCUGGUCGUCUGGAGGCAAAUGAAAAGGCCGUUUUACAGAGAUGUAAACCCAGAUGCAAUGUCUCCAAUGGAGAUCGCUGAGAACCUGAAAAUAAUAUACAAAUGAGCAUAGCGAUCAUAUAUAUUUCUAAUAAACCUUUUGAGUAACAAGAUGACAUGCUUUCUGUAUGACAUGCACCUCUAAAUGCUUUGUAUGUUUUAAGUUAAUACACUUUACCAGUUACCACACUGUAUAAUCAUGUGUUCACUGAUAGAUCUGAGUUGAUAAAAAUUUGCUUAAUGUACAUUUCAUGUGUCAGUUUAUCUACUGUCAUUUGUAUAUUUUUGUUUAUACAAUUUGACUUUUGUGUUUGGUUUAUAUGUAAAAUGUAAAACUGUUAAAAAUAAAGAUUGGUGUUACUUA
ensembl:lncRNA